rnacentral:sRNA from 1 species
ACUGUGUGCUUUCUCCGACAGGAUGAGCUCGCUGCAUCGGGGCUGCCGAGCUGCGAUGCCGCCGUCAACCUGGCCGGAGAGAACAUCCUCAACCCUCUCCGAAGAUGGAAUGAAACCUUCCAAAAAGAGGUUCUCGGCAGCCGCCUAGAGACCACCCAAUUGCUGGCUAAAGCCAUCACCAAAGCCCCACAACCCCCCAGGCCUGGGUCUUAGUCACAGGUGUAGGUAUGCCCCCAAAUCACCAGCCUCUUAUAUUCGCCAGGGGAACGGGGUAACUCAGACCUCUGUAGCUAUGCACAUACCAGGGCACUGGUCUUUUCCAGGCAAAAUGACUUCCUAGGCCCUUGAUCCAUGCAUGUUUCUCCUAACCUUUGUGUACUUUCACUAAGAAAUUGAGACCCUGAAAAAGAGUGGGGAGUGGCAUCACUCUUAGUGCCAGGGAAAAGUCCACCUAUCCCAAAGUCCCUUACUUCUCACACCAUAGUUCUUUAGGAACAGAGUUCCUGGUCACCUUUGGGACCAAGUAAUUGCAAACAAUUAUACACACCAGCCACUAUUUGAAGUGUUUUAUGCUUAUUAUUAUUUAUUCCUUACAACAACCCUAUGA